CUUGGUGUUACUGCGAAGGGGGGACGGAGAAGGCUAUGUUGGCCGGGCGACGGUUGUCCCGGUUUAAGCGUGUAGGUGUGUGUUCCAGGUAAAUCCGGUUCACUUUAACACUGAGGCGUGACGACGAGGCACUACGGUGCUGAAGCAACAAAUGCCCUGCUUCCAGGAAAAGCCUCUAAGCAUCAGGUAACAUCAAAUCGUACCCCAAACCGACACAGGUGGUCAGGUAGAGAAUACCAAGGCGCUUGAGAGAACUCGGGUGAAGGAACUAGGCAAAAUGGUGCCGUAACUUCGGGAGAAGGCACGCUGACACGUAGGUGAAGUGAUUUACUCAUGGAGCUGAAGUCAGUCGAAGAUACCAGCUGGCUGCAACUGUUUAUUAAAAACACAGCACUGUGCAAACACGAAAGUGGACGUAUACGGUGUGACGCCUGCCCGGUGCCGGAAGGUUAAUUGAUGGGGUCAGCGCAAGCGAAGCUCCUGAUCGAAGCCCCGGUAAACGGCGGCCGUAACUAUAACGGUCCUAAGGUAGCGAAAUUCCUUGUCGGGUAAGUUCCGACCUGCACGAAUGGCGUAAUGAUGGCCAGGCUGUCUCCACCCGAGACUCAGUGAAAUUGAACUCGCUGUGAAGAUGCAGUGUACCCGCGGCAAGACGGAAAGACCCCGUGAACCUUUACUAUAGCUUGACACUGAACAUUGAGCCUUGAUGUGUAGGAUAGGUGGGAGGCUUUGAAGUGUGGACGCCAGUCUGCAUGGAGCCGACCUUGAAAUACCACCCUUUAAUGUUUGAUGUUCUAACGUGGACCCGUAAUCCGGGUUGCGGACAGUGUCUGGUGGGUAGUUUGACUGGGGCGGUCUCCUCCUAAAGAGUAACGGAGGAGCACGAAGGUUGGCUAAUCCUGGUCGGACAUCAGGAGGUUAGUGCAAUGGCAUAAGCCAGCUUGACUGCGAGCGUGACGGCGCGAGCAGGUGCGAAAGCAGGUCAUAGUGAUCCGGUGGUUCUGAAUGGAAGGGCCAUCGCUCAACGGAUAAAAGGUACUCCGGGGAUAACAGGCUGAUACCGCCCAAGAGUUCAUAUCGACGGCGGUGUUUGGCACCUCGAUGUCGGCUCAUCACAUCCUGGGGCUGAAGUAGGUCCCAAGGGUAUGGCUGUUCGCCAUUUAAAGUGGUACGCGAGCUGGGUUUAGAACGUCGUGAGACAGUUCGGUCCCUAUCUGCCGUGGGCGCUGGAGAACUGAGGGGGGCUGCUCCUAGUACGAGAGGACCGGAGUGGACGCAUCACUGGUGUUCGGGUUGUCAUGCCAAUGGCACUGCCCGGUAGCUAAAUGCGGAAGAGAUAAGUGCUGAAAGCAUCUAAGCACGAAACUUGCCCCGAGAUGAGUUCUCCCUGAGACUUAG
rnacentral:rRNA from 1 species